AACGAACGCUGGCGGCGUGCUUAACACAUGCAAGUCGAACGCGAAAGGGACUUCGGUCCUGAGUAAAGUGGCGCACGGGUGAGUAACACGUGGAUAAUCUACCCAGUGUUCCGGGAUAACACUUCGAAAGGAGUGCUAAUACCGGAUAAGCCCACGGGAACUUCGGUUCUUGCGGGAAAAGGUGGGGACCUUCGGGCCUACUGUCACUGGAUGAGUCCGCGGCCCAUUAGCUAGUUGGUGAGGUAAUGGCUCACCAAGGCAACGAUGGGUAGCUGGUCUGAGAGGAUGAUCAGCCACACUGGAACUGAGACACGGUCCAGACUCCUACGGGAGGCAGCAGUGGGGAAUUUUGCGCAACGGGCGAAAGCCUGACGCAGCAACGCCGCGUGAGUGAUGAAGGCCCUCGGGUCGUAAAGCUCUGUCAGAGGGGAAGAACCGCCGUACGGAUAAUAACCGUGCGGUCUGACGGUACCCUCAAAGGAAGCACCGGCUAACUCCGUGCCAGCAGCCGCCGCAG
rnacentral:rRNA from 1 species